UUAUUACACCAAUGCAGUGAAGCUUGUUUACUGGCAUGGAAAGUUCUGCAUGGAAGCACUAAAACGUCACCCAGGGUAUCCUGACAAAGGGGGAGGAGCUUGGCCAGUGUGACAGCAAGAUGCAAUUUACUGCUGGAAUGUCUACAAGAGGGAAACAAAACUACAGCUGCUCAUUUUUGAUUGAGAUGAUGAGUGACAAGACGUUGUUUCAUAACUCAGCAGCACAAAGCAUCCAGAAGAAAAUGUGAGGUUGUAACACACAUCGUUUUCUGGGGUUGCCCCUUAAAUGACAUCUUGAGGAUACUCUUCCUCUGCUGUAGUCCAAAAGUAUGCAAAAUAUCCCAUGUCCUCCUGGUCUGAUUGGGAAACUGUUUUAUGUUUUUAUCUCUGUUUAAGUUUUUGCUAUGUGAAAAAAGAAGUAAGUACAAAGUAAUUUUAUUCUCUAGAGUGCAAUUACUGAAUAGGUUGAUAAAAAGAUCUUGCACAGAAGAAUAAAGGGCUUAAAAAGAAAUUUCAUUUAUGCAUCCUCAAUCCAGUAACCCAUACCUUUUUCAAUAUUAUGCUAUUGAUAAAUGUCGUAUCAGUUUGCUGUUUCCCUCAAUGUCUUAAUAAUUA